rnacentral:rRNA from 1 species
GAUGAACGCUGGCGGCGUGCCUAAUACAUGCAAGUCGAGCGAACAGAUGAGGAGCUUGCUCCUCUGCCGUUAGCGGCGGACGGGUGAGUAACACGUGGAUAACCUACCUAUAAGACUGGGAUCCCUUCGGGAAACCGGAGCUAAUACCGGAUCAUAUAUUGAACCGCAUGGUUCAUUAGUGAAAGCCGGUUUUGCUGUCACUUAUACAUGGAUCCGCGCCGCAUUAGCUAGUUGGUACGGUAACGGCUUACCAAGGCAACGAUGCGUAGCCGACCUGAGAGGAUGAUCGGCCACACUGGAACUGAGACACGGUCCAGACUCCUACGGGAGGCAGCAGUAGGGAAUCUUGCGCAAUGGGCGAAAGCCUGACGGAGCAACGCCGCGUGAGUGAUGAAGGUCUUCGGAUCGUAAAACUCUGUUAUUAGGGAAGAACAAAUGUGUAAGUAACUAUGCACGUCUUGACGGUACCUAAUCAGAAAGCCACGGCUAACUACGUG